rfam:Capsicum annuum cultivar Zunla-1 chromosome 8, whole genome shotgun sequence
UAAUGAUGUUGAGGGCAAUUUCUGAGCAUACUUUUAAAUCUCUCCCAUUCUUGGUAGGUAUUCUCUCCUACUUUUUGUAUGAAAAUCAGAAUAUUAUUUCUCAAAUG